UGGGGAAUAUUGCACAAUGGGCGCAAGCCUGAUGCAGCCAUGCCGCGUGUGUGAAGAAGGCCUUCGGGUUGUAAAGCACUUUCAGCGAGGAGGAAGGUGGUGAACUUAAUACGUUCAUCAAUUGACGUUACUCGCAGAAGAAGCACCGGCUAACUCCGUGCCAGCAGCCGCGGUAAUACGGAGGGUGCAAGCGUUAAUCGGAAUUACUGGGCGUAAAGCGCACGCAGGCGGUUUGUUAAGUCAGAUGUGAAAUCCCCGAGCUCAACCUGGGAACUGCAUUUGAAACUGGCAAGCUAGAGUCUCGUAGAGGGGGGUAGAAUUCCAGGUGUAGCGGUGAAAUGCGUAGAGAUCUGGAGGAAUACCGGUGGCGAAGGCGGCCCCCUGGACGAAGACUGACGCUCAGGUGCGAAAGCGUGGGGCAGCAAACA
rnacentral:rRNA from 1 species